rnacentral:lncRNA from 1 species
GCCAGCAAGGGAGACAGUGUCUAGAGGCAGUCAUCUAGCAAGAUGGAGACUUACAACAUGAGGCACAUACAAGAGUGACCUCCCAUCGUCUUUGAGGCAUUCUAUUUCUUGUGUCUUUGUGAAGCUUCCUAUCUUUGCUUUUCAACUAAGAUGAAACAGCAUUUAAAAGAAAAUGCCAUGUGAGAUGAGAUCAGGAGAAUGGAUUCUUUCUUUCAUCUGAAUAGAGAGCUGCUGUUCGAGAUUCUAACUCAAAUAGCUCAAAGGACACCUUCUCCGGGAAACCUUCCCUGACUUCCGACGCUGUUUCCUGUUCUCUGGAGACUGAGAAGUCCAAGAUCAAGGCGUCAACAGAUUCAGUGUCUGGUGAAGGCUGCUCUGCUUCUGAGAG